GAGAUGUGGCUCCUGGCAUGGCAGGGCAAAGCCUCUGCUGGUCGUCUGAGCCCAGCCCUGACCCCAGGCUGAGAACGCUGUCCGCCCAGACCCUUCUGAGCCCAGCCCUGACCCCAGGCUGAGAACGCUGUCCGCCCAGACCCUUCUGAGCCCAGCCCUGACCCCAGGCUGAGAACGCUGUCCGCCCAGACCCUUCUGAGCCCAGCCCUGACCCCAGGCUGAGAACGCUGUCCGCCCAGACCCUUCUGAGCCCAGCCCUGACCCCAGGCUGAGAACGCUGUCCGCCCAGACCUUUCUGAGCCCAGCCCUGACCCCAGGCUGAGAACGCUGUCCGCCCAGACCGUUCUGAGCCCAGCCCUGACCCCAGGCUGAGAACGCUGUCCGCCCAGACCGUUCUGAGCCCAGCCCUGACCCCAGGCUGAGAACGCGUCCGCCCAGACCAUUCUGAGCCCAGCCCUGACUCCAGGCUGAGACGGCUGUGCACCCAGGCUGUUCUGAGUCUAGUGCUGACUCCAGGCUGAGACGGCCGUCCACCCAGGGCGUUCUGAGCCUAGCCCUGACUCCAGGCUGAGACAGAAAACACACCCCUGGGUGGAGAUUUAAGAUGCUAAUGAGACACGCAACUGAUGAACAAGCAGGUGCAGGUACUGCGCAUGUGCACCUAGAGGACGCCCCCCCCCCGCCCCGCCCCGCCGAACAUGUUUCCUAGCAACGCCUCUGCCCACCCGCGCCAGCUGACACGGAAAAUAGAAAGAGCCUGUGUUGAAACAUUGGGGGGGUUUCCCCGAUAUCUGGCUUGUCUUGAACUCCUGAGCUCAAGUGAUCCUCCCACCUCAGCCUCUCAAAGUACUGGGAUUACAGGCAUGAACCACUGUGUCUGGCACAAGCAAAUAUUAAAACAACGAAAGUACAAUGGAAUAGAGGCCAUACAGAGAUAGGAGCUGAAGGGACACGGUGAGAAGUGACCAGAAGCCUAGUGUGAGCCUCUGUCAUGCCCGGACAGGGCCACUAGAGGGCUCCUUGGUCUAGCGGUAAUGCCAGUGCCUGGGAAGGCGCCCGUUACUUAGCAGACUGGGAAAGGGAGUCUCCCUUUCCUUGGGGAGUUAGAGAAGACUCCGCCCCACCACUUCUUGUGGAAGGCCUGACAUCAGUCAAGCCUGUCUGCAGCCAUCCGGACGCCUAAACGUCUCCCCGUGAUGCUGUGCUUCAGCGGUCAUGCUCCUGGUCCACUUUCAUGUUCCGCCCUGUCCACCUGGCUCUGCCUUCUAGAUAGCAGUAGCAGAAUUAGUGAAAGUAUUAAAGUCUUUGAUCUCUCCAGAAAUACAUAGAAGAAAUAAUGACACAAACUCUCCCCUCUCUCUCUCCGCCUUGACUACCAAAGAGGGAAGGGCCCCCUGUCCAGUGGACACGUGACCCAUGUGACCUUACCUAUCAUUGGAGACAACUCACGCUCCUUAUCCUGCCCUCUUGCCUUGUAUACAAUAAAUGACAGCACAGCCGGGCAUUCGGGGCCACUACUGGUCUCCGAACCUUGGUGGUAGUGGUCCCCAGGGCCCAAAUGUCUUUUCUUCUG
ensembl:lncRNA